UCCAUGGAGAUAUGGACCCCGCCCAUUCAGAGUGGGUCUUGAUUAGAUUACUGGAGCCCCUUAAGGAAGCUGACAGAGAGAAGGAGCUUAGGAGAAGCUGAGAGAAACAUUUUGAAGAGAAACUAAGAUCUACAAUCCAGAGUUUGCGCUGGAAUAAGCUGGGAGCCAACACAAGCCCACUCCCUUGGAGACACUUGGAGAUGCUUGGAGAUGAAGACGGAAAGACAUUUGGAGAUGCUAUUUUAAGAGGUGGCUUUUGACCUGCAUCACAUGUAGCAGAUGUUCUCCACGUUUCUUGAAUUUUCUUACCUUUACCUGCAAGGGGAGCCCAAGAACCUCAUCCUGUUGGUAGUUACCAUUCUCUGAUGUAAGCUAUUAUUCACCAGGGUGUUUUGGCAAGGGAACUGGUUAGAUCAGCAAGUCUGUCUUCACUGUGAAAAAACAACUUGAAGCUCAUCUCUCUUGAUGAGUGAUGUAACUAAAAGUUGUGUGGAUGAAUAGCACAGAGAGACCCAAUUUCUCCACAUUCUUUGAAUGUGUGAUAACACAGGGAGUUGAAUGAAUCAACAUGUCUGCUAAUGUCAUACAUUUAUAAAGAAGUGAAAGGUCACAGAGACUGUUGAAUCCCUUCAUAUCCUAUUCCAGCCCAAUUCUCCUCUACUUCUUCCCCAGAGGAAUACCUAAUAGUGGUAUUUGGAAAACAGCUGGAUACCUAGUCCUGGAGAGAUUUUCCGGAGCAAACUCUGUGCUAGCAUCUCCAAAGCGUCAGCAGAAGUCUGCUUUCAAUGGCCGUCUACAAAACAUCUCUGUUAGCUGCAGCACCAAUCUCCUGUCUGAGCUCUUAUAGGGCUCUAGUAAACUAAUCAAGACCCACACUGAAUGGGCGGGGCCACACCUCCAU